UGUUGGCUGGCGUGCUUUACACAUGCAGUCGAACGCUGAAGCCGACAGCUUGCUGUUGGUGGAUGAGUGGCGAACGGGUGAGUAACACGUGAGUAACCUGCCCCUGAUUUCGGGAUAAGCCUGGGAAACUGGGUCUAAUACCGGAUAUGACCUCCUGACGCAUGUUGGGUGGUGGAAAGUUUUUCGAUCGGGGAUGGGCUCGCGGCCUAUCAGCUUGUUGGUGGGGUAAUGGCCUACCAAGGCGACGACGGGUAGCCGGCCUGAGAGGGCGACCGGCCACACUGGGACUGAGACACGGCCCAGACUCCUACGGGAGGCAGCAGUGGGGAAUAUUGCACAAUGGGGGAAACCCUGAUGCAGCGACGCAGCGUGCGGGAUGACGGCCUUCGGGUUGUAAACCGCUUUCAGCAGGGAAGAAGCGAAAGUGACGGUACCUGCAGAAGAAGUACCGGCUAACUACGUGCCAGCAGCCGCGGUAAUACGUAGGGUACGAGCGUUGUCCGGAAUUAUUGGGCGUAAAGAGCUCGUAGGUGGUUGGUCACGUCUGCUGUGGAAACGCAACGCUUAACGUUGCGCGUGCAGUGGGUACGGGCUGACUAGAGUGCAGUAGGGGAGUCUGGAAUUCCUGGUGUAGCGGUGAAAUGCGCAGAUAUCAGGAGGAACACCGGUGGCGAAGGCGGGACUCUGGGCUGUAACUGACACUGAGGAGCGAAAGCAUGGGGAGCGAACAGGAUUAGAUACCCUGGUAGUCCAUGCCGUAAACGUUGGGCACUAGGUGUGGGGGACAUUCCACGUUCUCCGCGCCGUAGCUAACGCAUUAAGUGCCCCGCCUGGGGAGUACGGUCGCAAGGCUAAAACUCAAGGAAUUGACGGGGGCCCGCACAAGCGGCGGAGCAUGCGGAUUAAUUCGAUGCAACGCGAAGAACCUUACCAAGGCUUGACAUAACACUGGACCGUUCUGGAAACAGUUCUUCUCUUUGGAGCUGGUGUACAGGUGGUG
rnacentral:rRNA from 1 species